GCCCCGACGCAGAGCGGCUCGCUAGGCGGUCGUCCUACCUGAAGGCGACGAGCAGCGAGUGGCGUGGUGACGAGUGUCCACCCCCAGCUCCUCCAAGUCCUCCUCCAGCCCCACGAGUUCCUCCAGAAGCGUCAGCUCCAGUUGGGGAAGAGGGAGUGUCAGAGUCCUCCUCUCAUCCCCAGGACGCCUCCGCUCAUGGCGCCCUUCACUACAAGCUUGCCCUCCUCGAUGGCAAGCGGGCUGUGGACCGAUCCUGGAAGACAGCGUGGGGGC
rnacentral:lncRNA from 1 species